GACGAACGCUGGCGGCGUGCUUAACACAUGCAAGUCGAACGGAAAGGCCCUGCUUUUGUGGGGUGCUCGAGUGGCGAACGGGUGAGUAACACGUGAGUAACCUGCCCUUGACUUUGGGAUAACUUCAGGAAACUGGGGCUAAUACCGGAUAGGAGCUCCUGCUGCAUGGUGGGGGUUGGAAAGUUUCGGCGGUUGGGGAUGGACUCGCGGCUUAUCAGCUUGUUGGUGGGGUAGUGGCUUACCAAGGCUUUGACGGGUAGCCGGCCUGAGAGGGUGACCGGCCACAUUGGGACUGAGAUACGGCCCAGACUCCUACGGGAGGCAGCAGUGGGGAAUAUUGCACAAUGGGCGGAAGCCUGAUGCAGCAACGCCGCGUGCGGGAUGACGGCCUUCGGGUUGUAAACCGCUUUCGCCUGUGACGAAGCGUGAGUGACGGUAAUGGGUAAAGAAGCACCGGCUAACUACGUGCCAGCAGCCGCGGUGAUACGUAGGGUGCGAGCGUUGUCCGGAUUUAUUGGGCGUAAAGGGCUCGUAGGUGGUUGAUCGCGUCGGAAGUGUAAUCUCGGGGCUUAACCCUGAGCGUGCUUUCGAUACGGGUUGACUUGAGGAAAGUAGGGGAGAAUGGAAUUCCUGGUGGAGCGGUGGAAUGCGCAGAUAUCAGGAGGAACACCAGUGGCGAAGGCGGUUCUCUGGGCCUUUUCUGACGCUGAGGAGCGAAAGCGUGGGGAGCGAACAGGCUUAGAUCCCCUGGUAGUCCACGCUGUAAACGGGGGGUACUAGGUGUUGGGGUCCAUUCCACGGGUUCCGUGCCGUAGCUAACGCUUUAAGUACCCCGCCUGGGGAGUACGGCCGCAAGGGCUAAAACUCAAAGGAAUUGACGGGGCCCGCACAAGCGGCGGAGCAUGCGGAUUAAUUCGAUGCAACGCGUAGAACCUUACCUGGGUUUGACAUGGAUCGGGAGUGCUCAGAGAUGGGUGUGCCUCUUUUGGGGUCGGUUCACAGGUGGUGCAUGCCUGUCGUCAGCUCGUGUCGUGAGAUGUUGGGUUAAGUCCCGCAACGAGCGCAACCCUUGUUCACUGUUGCCAGCACGUUAUGGUGGGGACUCAGUGGAGACCGCCGGGGUCAACUCGGAGGAAGGUGGGGAUGACGUCAAGUCAUCAUGCCCCUUAUGUCCAGGGCUUCACGCAUGCUACAAUGGCUGGUACAGAGAGUGGCGAGCCUGUGAGGGUGAGCGAAUCUCGGAAAGCCGGUCUCAGUUCGGAUUGGGGUCUGCAACUCGACCUCAUGAAGUCGGAGUCGCUAGUAAUCGCAGAUCAGCAACGCUGCGGUGAAUACGUUCCCGGG
rnacentral:rRNA from 1 species